UACGUAGGUGGCAAGCGUUGUCCGGAUUUAUUGGGCGUAAAGCGCGCGCAGGCGGUCUUUUAAGUCUGAUGCGAAAUCUCGCGGCUCAACCGUGAGCGGUCAUUGGAAACUGGAAGACUUGAGUACAGAAGAGGAGAGUGGAAUUCCACGUGUAGCGGUGAAAUGCGUAGAUAUGUGGAGGAACACCAGUGGCGAAGGCGACUCUCUGGUCUGUAACUGACGCUGAGGCGCGAAAGCGUGGGGAGCGAACAGG
rnacentral:rRNA from 1 species